AUUACUAACUAUUGGAAGUUUAGAGACUCAAAAUGAAGUUAUAAGAAUCACUGAGUCUUCAGAGUGAACGGGAAAAAGUUGAUUGAAAUCUUCAGAAAGUUAACUAAGAAACAAUCAUACAUGACUGUGGAACAAUACAUGGACCAAGGCUGAGAUCGGGAGUCACGUGGCCCUGACAGAACCCAGACUGAGUAUUUGUGAGCAGACAAGACCAAACACAGACUGGGUGACAGCUUUGUGGAACAGCUCCGAUCAAUCCGACAGAACGGCUCCAGCCUUCU